GCUCGGAUGUGUCCCGGCUUCUUGCACUCAUAACAUCCAAUUCCCUCAUUUUCCCUUUCCUUACCUUUAUCCUUGCGAUAGAAAUUUGAGGGGCCUCUCCUUUGAUGAUAGGACUUCUUGUGGUUGAUGAAUUUUCUGAACUUGCGCACGAGAAGAGCUUCAUCAUCAUCUCCCUCAUGGUCCUCUUCUUCACUGCUGCUACUGCAAGACAAGUCUUUGUUAGAUGAUGUAGAUUUAAGAGCUAUUACCUUUUUCUUAUGGGAGGACUCUUCUUCGCUGUGCUGCUUCAUUGUUAGCUCGUGAGUCAUUAGGGAUCCAAGGAGCUCUUCAAGUGGAAGCUUGUUCAAGUCCUUAGCUUCUUGGAUUGCCGUCACCUUGGCUUCCCAUGACCUUGGUAGACAGCGAAGAAUUUUUCUGACAAGAUCACUGUUAGUAUAGNN
rnacentral:lncRNA from 1 species